GAUACCAGUAAACGCGCGCGCGCUCCCUCGUGUCUCCUCUGUACGCGCGUCGCGCGUGUAACGAAACCUACGGGGCUUACCGCACAACCGACUCGAACACGUUGCGUAUCACGCGUUAUUUCGUAUGCGUGACCCGUAAGCACGCGCACCUACCCGUCCGAGGAAUAGAUCCAGACUUUGGAUUUGAUCCUUCCGGUUAUAGUUACUUUGCACCCCCAGCACCUGGAUAUACAGCAGAGGACUCGUUGGAGUUGAAUAAGUUUGGUGACUGAGUGGAUGAGUUUUGGGAAAAUUGUGGCUGUUACCGGAGACGGAGGCAAUUCAAAGUCCUUCGAUGAAACUGCUGACUCCACCGACGAAGGGACUCGAAGAUCUCUACGGUGAAACAGGUGUAACUGUGCAGAUCAGAC
rnacentral:misc_RNA from 1 species